rnacentral:misc_RNA from 1 species
UCCGGCUUAUCACCGGCAGUUUCCUUAUAGUUCCCGACAUUACUCGCUGGCAAAUAAGGAUGAGGGUUGCGCUCGUUGCGGGACUUAACCCAACAUCUCACGACACGAGCUGACGACAGCCAUGCAACACCUGUGUGUGGUCCAGCCGAACUGACGGAUAUGUCUCCAUAUCCUACGACCACCAUGUCAAGGGUUGGUAAGGUUUUUCGCGUAGCAUCGAAUUAAACCGCAUGCUCCACCGCUUGUGCGAGCCCCCGUCAAUUCCUUUGAGUUUUAAUCUUGCGACCGUACUCCCCAGGCGGAGUGCUUAAUGCGUUAGCUGCGAAACCGAGAGUAAACUCCCGAUAUCUAGCACUCAUCGUUUAGGGCGUGGACUAC